UGAGAUAGCCGCAGUUUGCUGGAAUAUGUUAUCGUGUGAUCGAAGGGUAUGGUUGGCAUGGAAUUGAAUUUCAUCUGUCUGUGGGAAUUGUAAAAAAAGUGGUCUGGAAUCCAACCUGCAAUAGCUUCGAGGUAUGGUUGUAUUCAUGUCCCAUUGGCUUGAACUCAUGGCCACAUCUGGCUACAGGAGAGGCUGGGAAGUGCAAUCUGCAUUGUGGCAUGCACUUAGCUAAAGUUAUGGUGUUCUGUUACUGAGGAAGAAAGAGAAAGUGGAUAUUGGGCAAAACCUCCAGUGCUUCGCAUAGUGAUCCAGGUGAGGUUCUUUUGCUUUCUGCUUAUCGAUCGUCUCUGGUAUUUAAAAACACUCCUAAUUCUCUUUCUGUUGUAUUCUCUCUUUCAUAUCAUUUAAAACUUCCCAGUUACUACAUUCGGAUGCUUUCUUUUCUUUUAGAUAUAGAUCACGAGUGUGCUUCCUUUGUCCUUCAUUGAUUUAGAACCUUUCCAUUUUUUUUUUUUGAACCUUUCCAUUUUAAGAUAUGCCACCAAGACGUUAGAAUAUUUCCAUGCUGGUGUGCACUUACCUUUUCUUUCUUUCUUUCUUUUUUUUUUUUGGUUAUACACAUCAUGCUUAUUGCCUGCACAGAUGCCUACAAAAUGCG
rnacentral:lncRNA from 1 species